CACCGCACCACCAUCCCACAGCCACCGUUCGAAAUUGCUGAUUAAUAGACGGUAAUUUUUUUUGAAUUUCUGUGUUUUAUUUUUGUUGUUGUUAGGGUAAUUUUUUCUGAAUUGUUCAUGAAUUAGGUUAAUUGAAAAAAAAAACUGCAAUUACUUGAUAUUAGUGGAUCAUAAACUUGAAAUUUGGAAGUAAGUGCUUAUACUAAAUCAGAAUUACGCCAGAUUAUUGAAAAAAAGAAACUGCAAUUAGAGGUGAAACCAUAAGAAUAAAAACAGUGUAAAUGAGAGGAAAAAGAGAUUUUUUGGUUAAUUUUUCUGAAUUUUUUGGGUUUUUUUUUGUUGUUGGUAGGGUUAAAAUUUUAGAGAAUGCACUUUAGAAAUCAAGAAAUUGUUUAAUUGUGUGUAUCUUUAGAAUGCAAGAAAUUGAUUAAUUGUUCAUGAAUUAACAGUAUAAUGGAAAAUAUAUUUUGAAUAAUUUUUUUUAUUUCUUUCAUUGUAUUAUUAUUAUUAACAAUUUGUUGUUGUUGCUUAAUUUUUGGUUAAGUAUAGUAUGAAUUAUUGAAUUAUUUUGGAGUUGGAUUGAGGAGUAAUCCGUUUUAGAUUACGUUACAUAAUGAUUUUCCUAAUGCUUUUAGGAAAUAUAUGGAUUAUGGAGUAUAAUUUGAUAUGUUGGAGUGGUGUGAAAUUGAUUGUUAGGUUUUAUUAGGAAAUUUUGAAUAAAGUAGAGAUUAUUAGUAAACUUGUUAAUUAAUUAGUUGAAUUUGGUAGUAUGUUUUAAUGUGUAAUUUUAGGUUGUUUUAUAGUUCUUGACAAAAUUACUAACUUUUAUUUUGUUGUUGUAUUUUUUUAUUUUUGUAGAUUCAUAUGUAGUGAAGCACAAGUUUAUUAGCUAUUCAAGUGGGAAGUUCGAGACAUUACAUCCAUUAUACUUGCUAUAUUGCUCGAUCAACAAAGAAGUACCUCGUGAUGUCUGUACUACAAAAUAUUAUGAAGAAGAUACAUGGUCGUGCUCCACGGGGUCCUACAUGGAAAUCACCUAUGUUUUGCAAGGUGCAAAAGGGAGAUCCGUUAACAAGCAAGGAGUUUAAUGAAGUUCGAGACAUGUUGACAUCUUUCAUCACCUUCAAUUUGUAAAUGUGGCAUCAUUUUGAAUUUAUACUUUGUUAUUUAUUAACUUUUAGACUACAAUAUUGACUAGUUAUUAGUAUUGUUUGUAUUUAUUUGUAU